UUUGCUAGAUUGCUGAAUCUGCUAGACAGGCCCAGGAAGUUUGAGAAAUCCUAAUGGAGCAAUCCAAGAGAACACUUAAUGAAGGAAAGUCUCUGGGAAAACAGCACCUGUUUUCACAAUCUGUCAGCAGCCAGGGCUGAUGCAUCUUUACAGGACUGUUCCUGAGUUUAAAAUACACAGGAGGCCAUGUGCCCAGCCCCAAGCCUGGCCUACAACAAAUUCACAGGUCCUGUUGCUUUGCCCUUGGACCUUUGCUGACCCUGGAGAAACUGACCCUUUCAGGAUAGCCAAUUUCUAGAGACUAUAAAUGACUUCCUUGUGAGCCCAGCUUUCCAAUGCAGACCAACCAAUCCAAAGCCCACACCCGACCCAUCUCCUCUAUUAGCUUUCACAUUCAGGUCUUGGUCUCCCUUCCCUUGUCACCCCUGGGCCAGGUACCGGACAAUUAUGGACACCCCCCACUCAACCCCAGAGUGCACUGAAAUUAUUCCAAGUGGCCAAUCCUGAACCUGCUCAUCCUGCUUCACUUGGGGCUUCUCAGAGAAACCACCAAAAGUUCUUGCCAGCACUCUCCUUGCUUUCUGCCUCCUGCCUGCCCCUGCUCAUCCCCUGUGCAGCCUUUCAUGGUGUGCACUGCCUCGUGUUUCUAGGGGGUCUGUGAGGGUAAGAACAGUCAUUUCCAUCCCUAUGUGUUUACUACAUCUGAUUAAAACAAAUUCCAGAUAUGUUUUAAAACAA